AUUCCAGCUCCAAUAGCGUAUAUUAAAGUUGUUGUGGUUAAAAAGCUCGUAGUUGAACCUUGGGCCUGGCUGGCCGGUCCGCCUCACCGCGUGUACUGGUCCGGCCGGGCCUUUCCCUCUGUGGAACCCCAUGCCCUUCACUGGGCGUGGCGGGGAAACAGGACUUUUACUGUGAAAAAAUUAGAGUGCUCCAGGCAGGCCUAUGCUCGAAUACAUUAGCAUGGAAUAAUAGAAUAGGACGUGUGGUUCUAUUUUGUUGGUUUCUAGGACCGCCGUAAUGAUUAAUAGGGACAGUCGGGGGCAUCAGUAUUCAAUUGUCAGAGGUGAAAUUCUUGGAUUUAUUGAAGACUAACUACUGCGAAAGCAUUUGCCAAGGAUGUUUUCAUUAAUCAGGAACGAAAGUUAGGGGAUCGAAGACGAUCAGAUACCGUCGUAGUCUUAACCAUAAACUAUGCCGACUAGGGAUCGGACGGUGUUAUUUUUUGACCCGUUCGGCACCUUACGAGAAAUCAAAGUGCUUGGGCUCCAGGGGGAGUAUGGUCGCAAGGCUGAAACUUAAAGAAAUUGACGGAAGGGCACCACCAGGGGUGGAGCCUGCGGCUUAAU
rnacentral:rRNA from 1 species